UGUGUUUCUAUGUGUGCUUGUUUGAAUAUGUCUGGGAUUACAGAUCAUUGUCUGUGUUUGGGUGUAUGUUGAUGUGUGUGUCUUGGAUCCUCUGAAGGGUUUAUAGUGUAUACUUAGGUUGAGAAAAUGUUCAGAGCUAGAGUUAGACUUACAGUUAGGGCUAGGUUAAAGUAGUGAAACGGCAUAGUGUUAAAAAGUGGUCCUACAAAUAAUGAGCAACAU